rnacentral:ncRNA from 1 species
GUUUUUGUGGUUACAUUUGUAAUAAUAGGGAAUAUGGUUAGAAUCCAUAGCAGCCCCCGCUACUGUAAAAGAUACGAAACUCUACUUAAUAUAUUAUUUUAUUAAGUAAUGUCACUGAGGAAUACUUGGGAAGGCAAGAGGAAUAGAUUUGAAGCUUUAAGUCAGGAUACCUGCCACAAAAAUA